rnacentral:misc_RNA from 1 species
CAGACAAGGAAGAGGCCAAGUCUGGUUUAAUAAUAUCUGAAGGAGAUGUAUUCCUUAAUGGAGCUCAGUCAUGCUUAUUAACCGGUGUUGGUGAAGAAUGUGUGUUCCAUCCAAGUGAAUAUUAUCCAACAUGGACACUAGAAGCUCCAUCAGAUUCCCUGAAAGCUGUUGUCCAAAUAUGUGCAGGUUGGCAGUCUAUUCC